UACAUGAAGUGAGCUGUAGCUCACAAAAGCUUAUGCUCAAAUUUUAGUCUCUAAGGUGCCACAAGUACUCCUUUUCUUUUUGCAAAUACAGACUAACACAGCUGCUACUCUGAAACCUGUCAAAGAAUAAAAGUAGUUCCUCUUUUAAAGGGAUGGAGAAAAUUUAGAACACUCUGAAACCAUGCAAAUGUGUACAAUAUCUAGUCUCUCGUAUAGAGAGAUUAGAUAAAGUAUAAUUCUAAGAUGCAUUUAGAAGUGAGACUAUGGGUAGGUCCUUAUGGAUUCUGUGACUGAAAUUUGCUGUGGAAUUCAGCCCUUCCCACAGAAUUGUGCUACAGAAUCUCAAUUUACUUACUUUUUUUUUUUUUCUAGCCCUUAUGGUUUCAAACAUAACUUUGAGAAUGUGAACUGUGCAAACCAAUGUCUGAACCUGAAACAAUGGUCCUGAGAUGUGAACAUUCCAAAUCUAAUUUAGAACCUCAGACUCAUUGUGUGGCUGUAGAAUCUAGCAUUUUUCCAAGAUCCAGCAGAAUUCAGUACUUUUUCUGCUACUGGGCACCCAAUAUUUUGUUUUGUCUCCCUGCCCUGCUGGGAUAUGUCAACAGCUGCCAAGGAGCCAGAGCUUGAGUUCUGUUUGCAGCCAGGGAGUGAAAGGAGCCAAUGGUGCAGGCUGGCCAGCUAGGCUGCCUAGUUGAGACUACAGCAGCAGCUGAGGCCUGAGGAGGUAAAACAAACCUCCCAGAUUAAUAUUCCCCCAGAAUUUAGGAGUCUUAACUGCAGAAUUUUGUUCCAUUGUGCCACAGGUUACAUGCACCCUGCUUAUAGAGAUCAAGCACCUUUCUUAAAAGGACAGAGUUCAUACUUCUGAUUAAAAGUAUGCUAGGUACACAGUUUUCAAGUAAUACCCAUUUUUACUAUGAUUAAAAGAUACUGGUGAAAGUGUUUCAGUUUUUUUAGUAUGCAGUGAUUUUCAUACAGCACUUUUGUUUUUUUUUUUUCCUUGUAUAAUCAGUCAUUUUCUCCCCCAUGUGUAAAGAUCCUUUAUAAACAUCAACAGAGAUGCAGAAAAAUAUUAUAAAUUUUCUUUUAAAAAUAAAAUCAGGGCAUACUGUUUAAAGGACACCCCAUCAGACAGGAAUUUUACAAAUACUAUUCCAUUUAAAAAUGCAAGUUGAUAGUAUCCUUUAAAACGCUCUUUUUUUAAAAAUCCUUUUCUUCUUGGAAAUUGCAUUUUAUCUGUAUGUGGAAUGGAAAAGGGAAAUGGUAAUGGAGUAUGGAGGCUCUUAAUGCUUAGUCCGUAGUUCAGAACUUUUGCAGGUCUGUCGUGACAAAGUCUGAUCGUUGUUGCUUGACAUAAGUCAAAGGAGUGGAGGGUACUGAUCUGUGUUGCAUUAUAAAAGAACAGCAUUUGGUACCUGUGCUAAUGUUAAUCAUAGAGAUUUGCCAAGUGAAUUACCCAGUCACAUCUAGGCCUUGUCUAAAUUAGUGAAAUUUGACAUGCGAACCACAGUUGGAACCUGAAACAUACCAUAUAUCUGCAUGGGUGUGCUGUACUUACUCUGAAAAGACCAACAACAGUGACAUCUGUCACUAUGUUGAUCGGCACUGGCAGGCUCAGUGCCAGCAUAAACAGCAGGGACUAAUAUAAGCAUUUCACUGAUAUAAUUAGUCCUUCCACUACCAUCCAUGGUGUACUGGGCACUACUUAUGUAGCUCAGCUUAUCUAUCUUCUGGUCCAAGGGCAAGAUUUCUGAAAUCCUUCACUUGUACAUAUAGCUCUGCACACCCUCUAGAUCUCAGUGUGCGCUAUUUAUGAAUAGUAUUGACUUCUUUGUGACUGCUGUGUGUUAACAAGUGCACCUCGGAAUUUCUCAGAAGAAGACAACAUUGUAUAUGUGUGCUGCCAGCUGGCCUAAGGCAAUGAUUCAGGUGCUUAUAAAUAUCUACCUUAGGCAGGCUCUGUAAACUGUAACAUCCUGGUGUAUGUCUUUGUGUCUAAACAAUUGCACACCUAUGGAGGCUGAGAUAAUGGUGGACAACAUCCAGACACGUGAAAAUGGGCUGUUGAGGGACCAGCAGGAUGGGGAGGAGAAUUCCAUCUCCAUUGCCCUCUCUGAACUGGGGCCCAGCAAUACCUGAUCAUCUGAAGAGGUCUUGGGAUGACAGCAGAGACUUGCAGGCUGGAGAGGACAAUGACCCUGGAGGCAAGAAAACAUCUACAGAGACCACUUCUGCAACAAGGGUGUAGCUGAGAAAUGCUGGCAUGUUACACAGAAGGACUUGGGAGCACAAGUGACAGAGAGCUUGACAAAUCAAAGGACAAUGAGAUGAGCCAAGAGAAGAUCUAUUCCUCAGCCUUCAGAAGGUUGUGAAAAGAGACUGACAGAAUUUAAGUUCAAGGAUGACAGUUCUACCACUUUUGAAUAUCAUGGCAGACCUAGACCAGCAAAGAGAGAAUCCAUUAUGGACUCCAUAUAUCUUGAUACAGUAAUGGGGGACUGCAAAAGCUCUACUGUAAGGUGGUACAUGCAACAUCAAAGGCAUCUUGGUCAGUUAACCCAUUCAUGGGUCCCUGCACCUGUUCAGUAUUCUUGGCAUGGUGCUGUGAUAUAGGACAGUAGAAGCUCUUAUUGAGCUGCACAAUGUUCACCUGCUCUUUCCUGUAAGUCCUAAAACACUCCAUUCCUGCCUGUAAAGUGGACAUGAAUUUCAUGCCUCAGUAGGCCAGAAAACAGAAUAGAGUUGGUUACUGUAGAUGGCUUGCAUGUUAAAAUUCAUUUAGCAUUAUUUAUCUCAAAGUACAAGUGUACUUUUUCUUCCUUUUUGAAGACAAAACUAUUUCAGUAAUCCAUUACCUUCCUCAACCAAAACGAUACAUUCAGAAAAUUAUAAAAAGUACUCCCGUUUCACGAGGUCAAAGCUUAUGUGGGGAAAAUGUUUAGUAGCAUAAAAUGCAUAAUUAAGUGUUAGCUAUUUAGCUGCCUCAGUGAAGUCCAUACCCCCCAAACAUGUUCUGAGGAAUGGUUUAAUGUGUUAAAACCAUUGUCUUACAGUUGUAACAUUGUGGUUGUGUUUCUAACAAGAGUAGGCUUGUAUAACUUUAUGGGAACAACCACCAUAAAACCCUUUUAACCAUUUAUUAAAUACAUAAUGUGAAAACCUA